CAUUGGUCGGGACCAAAGAUCGUAGAGGGACAAGAUAGACCACUCCUCGAAAAACGCGUAGUAUGACGUGUGUGACCGUCGACGCCAUAUUGUUAAGCAUUUAUUGGGCUGUAAUGGCGUCCUCAGCUAAAUCUACAUCUCACUGCUCCGCUAUCAACUGUUCUAAUCGUAAAUCUAAACGACCAGAGCUGUCAUUCUUUAGGUUCCCCAAUAAAAAAGAAAGAUGUCAACAGUGGGUCCAGAAUACUCAUCGACAAGAUCUCCUGCGCCGAACUGCAGAGUAUUUGUCAAAUAACUGCCGUCUUAUGUACAUUGUGUGAAAUUGUGAUUUGUUAACUGCACAAAACUAAUGCAAAUGGCGAUACAUGCCUGCAUUUGGCCCAUACCCCUCUAAACCUGUCCUAACCAUCAAAUAACCUAACAGAACUGUCAUGAGGAAAGAUUUAAAAGACUAGGCUUGUAUUCACUGGAGUUUAGAAGGAUGAGGGGGGAUCUUAUCAUAUUGUUUACAGUGUACUAUGUUUACAGAUUCUGUUGUGCUGCUAAAAGUAAGAAUUUAAUUGUUCUAUCUGGGACAAGCUAGAUGCAGGAAAAUUGUUCUACAUGACAAUAAAACCCUCUUGUUAGAUGCAAGGGGAUCUUAUAGAAACAUCUAAAUGAAUAAAAGGACUGAACAAGCUAGAUACAGGAAAAAUGUUCCCAAUGUUGGGCGAGUCCAGAACCAGGGGCCACAGUCUUAGAACAAAGGGGAGGCCAUUUAAGACUGAGGUGAGAAAAAACUUUUUCACCCAGAGAGUUGUGAAUUUGUGGAAUUCCCUGCCACAGAGGGCAGUGGAGGCCAAAUCACUGGGUGGAUUUAAGAGAGAGUUAGAUAGACCUCUAGGGGCUAGUGGAAUCAAGGGGUAUGGGGAGAAGGCAGGCAUGGGUUAUCGAUUGGGGCUGAUCAGCCAUGAUCACAAUGAAUGGCGGUGUUGGGUCGAAGUGCCAAAUGGCCUCCUCCUGCACCUAUUUUCUAUAUUUCUAAAACACUCAUCCAGCAAUCCUCGAGCCCACCAGCUCAUCCCGUAGUCAAUUCAUCAGCUUUUCCAUAAGAACUUCCAUCAGUUCUUGCAAAAGAAUGACAAUCAGCCAAUCUCGAUUACCCUCAGCCCAUCAAGCAGUCCCUUAAUUCGCACAGAAGUCUGAACUAUUGAAUGCUCACUGCAUCUCUUUCCAUGUCAGCAAGUUAAUAUCCAGCUGCAUAUGAACCAUGUGAAAAAUGAAUAAAUAGAUGCAUGUGGUGCAGUGAUUUGUGCAGCACUAUAGGCCUGGAGACCAAGAGGAGUUCACCAUUGAACGGAGUUUGAACGGGGGGCUUGAGGCCCCCGACCGAGGAAGAACAAAAGGAAGGGACUUGAACUUUAUUUCGCCUUCCAUCACAGUGAGGAAUGUGUAGGAGUCACUUUGGUGAAUGUCCGUAUUAAAAUGUGUUUUUGAGUGCUGUUGCUUUUAAUUGUAUGACUGACCUGGCCAAUGAAAUUCCUCGUAUAUUGCAAAACAUACUUGGAAAAUAAAAUCUGAUUAUGAUUCUGAAAA